rnacentral:rRNA from 1 species
UAGGGAAUCUUCGGCAAUGGACGGAAGUCUGACCGAGCAACGCCGCGUGAGUGAAGAAGGUUUUCGGAUCGUAAAGCUCUGUUGUAAGAGAAGAACGAGUGUGAGAGUGGAAAGUUCACACUGUGACGGUAUCUUACCAGAAAGGGACGGCUAACUACGUGCCAGCAGCCGCGGUAAUACGUAGGUCCCGAGCGUUGUCCGGAUUUAUUGGGCGUAAAGCGAGCGCAGGCGGUUAGAUAAGUCUGAAGUUAAAGGCUGUGGCUUAACCAUAGUAGGCUUUGGAAACUGUUUAACUUGAGUGCAAGAGGGGAGAAUGGAAUUCCAUGUGUAGCGGUGAAAUGCGUAGAUAUAUGGAGGAACACCGGUGGCGAAAGCGGCUCUCUGGCUUGUAACUGACGCUGAGGCUCGAAAGCGUGGGGAGCAAACAGGAUUAGAUACCCUGGUAGUCCACGCUGUAAACGAUGAGUGCUAGGUGUUAGACCCUUUCCGGGGUUUAGUGCCGUAGCUAACGCAUUAAGCACUCCGCCUGGGGAGUACGACCGCAAGGUUG